CAAGGGAAUUCAGCAGUGAUAAAUCUUAAGCCAUAAGUGAAAACUUGACUUAGUUAUAAGCCAACAGGGCCGGUUAAACUCGUGCCAGCCACCGCGGUUAUACGAGAGGCCCAAGUUAAUACCCCCCGGCGUAAAGGGUGGUUAAGAAAAAUUUUUACUAGGGCUAAAUAUUCUCCAAGCUGUCAUACGCACCUGAGAAAAAGAGAACCUUAUACGAAAGUGGCCUUAACUUAUCUGAAUCCACGAAAGCCAGGGAACAAACUGGGAUUAGAUACCCCACUAUGCCUUGCCUUAAACCUUAUUAGCAUAAUUUACUGCCUAAUCGCCAGGGUACUACGAGCAUCAGCUUAAAACCCAAAGGACUUGGCGGUGCUUUAGACCCCCCUAGAGGAGCCUGUUUAAGAACCGAUAACCCCCGUUUAACCUCACCCCUUCUUGUUUAUUCC
rnacentral:rRNA from 1 species